GGAAGUUGCUGUAGGCUCUCUUGGUUAAAGCAUGGUGUCUCACCCAGGAAUGGAGCAACCAAAAAGACUGAGGUAUUACCUGUCAAUAUAGACAUAGGUUGUCGAUGCUGUCUGGAAUGCACUCUGGCCCCAGGUUAGCCUCUUGGAAUUUCAAGCUUGCUCCAAGGUUCACUUCUAGAGACACUUCCCAAGGGAGAAUUUUGAUGUUUCUUUCUACUGCCUGCCGAGAAUAUUGGCUUCAACCAGCA